GCCAGACUCCUACGGGAGGCAGCAGUGGGGGAUAUUGCACAAUGGGGGGAACCCUGAUGCAGCGACGCCGCGUGGGUGAAGGAGUAUUUCGGUAUGUAAAGCCCUAUCGGCAGGGAAGAAUUUAGGCGGUACCUGACUAAGAAGCCCCGGCUAACUACGUGCCAGCAGCCGCGGUAAUACGUAGGGGGCAAGCGUUAUCCGGAUUCACUGGGUGUAAAGGGAGCGUAGACGGCCAGGCAAGCCUGGAGUGAAAGCCCGGGGCCCAACCCCGGGACUGCUCUGGGAACUGUCCGGCUGGAGUGCAGGAGGGGCAGGCGGAAUUCCUGGUGUAGCGGUGAAAUGCGUAGAUAUCAGGAGGAACACCGGUGGCGAAGGCGGCCUGCUGGACUGCAACUGACGUUGAGGCCCGAAAGCGUGGGGAGCAAACAGGAUUAGAUACCCCCGUAGA
rnacentral:rRNA from 1 species